rnacentral:rRNA from 1 species
GUAUGGGAGUGAGAAUGUUGGCAUGAGUAGCGAGAUGUGGGUGAGAAUCCCACAGGCCGUAAACCCAAGGUUUCCAGGGGAAGGUUCGUCCGCCCUGGGUUAGUCGGGACCUAAGCUGAGGCCGAAAGGCGUAGGUGAUGGACAACAGGUUGAUAUUCCUGUACUACCGAUAACCGUUUGAGAGAAGGGAUGACACAGUAGGAUAAGCUAAGCACACUGUUGGUUAUGUGUGCCCAAGCAUUGAGGCAGUCAAAGUAGGCAAAUCCGCUUUGAUAAUGCUAGGAUGUGAUGGGGAGCGAAAUUUAGUAGCGAAGUAGCUGAUUUCACACUGUCAAGAAAAGUCUCUAUCGAGGUUAAAGGUACCCGUACCGCAAACCGACACAGGUGGGUGAGGAGAGUAUCCUAAGGCCAGCGAGAGAACUGUUGUUAAGGAACUCGGCAAAAUGACCCCGUAACUUAGGGAUAAGGGGUGCCACCAUCAGGUGGCCGCAGAGAAUAGGCCCAAGCGACUGUUUACCAAAAACAUAGGUUUCUGCUAAGUCGCAAGACGAUGUAUAGGAGCUGACGCCUGCCCGGUGCUGGAAGGUUAAGGGGAUCUGUUAGAGCAAUCGAAGCAGUGAACUUAAGCCCCAGUAAACGGCGGCCGUAACUAUAACGGUCCUAAGGUAGCGAAAUUCCUUGUCGGGUAAGUUCCGACCCGCACGAAAGGCGUAACGAUUUGGGCACUGUCUCAACAACAGACUCGGUGAAAUUGUAAUUCCGGUGAAGAUGCCGGAUACCUGCGACAGGACGGAAAGACCCCAUGGAGCUUUACUGUAGCUUGACAUUGGGUCUUGGUACUACAUGUACAGGAUAGGUGGGAGGCUUUGAAACCAGGACGCCAGUUUUGGCGGAGCCAUCCUUGGGAUACCACCCUUGUAGUACUGGGACUCUAACCAUAGGCCAUGAAUCUGGUCUUGGGACACUGUCAGGUGGGCAGUUUGACUGGGGCGGUCGCCUCCCAAAAGGUAACGGAGGCGCUCAAAGGUUCUCUCAGUACGGUCGGAAAUCGUACGUAGAGUGUAAAGGCAAAAGAGAGCUUGAUUGCAAGACAUACAGGUCGAGCAAGGAUGAA